GCGCUCAGCUCAGCAGCACACAUGCUAAGAUUGCAACAAUACAGAGAUUAGCAUGGCCCCUGAGCAAGGACGACAUGCAUAUCGUGCAGUGUUCCUCAUCUGU
rnacentral:snRNA from 1 species